rnacentral:tRNA from 1 species
AGAAGUGUGCCCGAGAACUUAGGGGUUAUUUUGAUGAAAUAAACACAGAAACAUUAAAUCUCUCACUUCUA